rnacentral:rRNA from 1 species
GCGGCGGACGGGUGAGUAAUGCUUAGGAAUCUGCCUAUUAGUGGGGGACAACAUUCCGAAAGGGAUGCUAAUACCGCAUACGCCCUACGGGGGAAAGCAGGGGAUCUUCGGACCUUGCGCUAAUAGAUGAGCCUAAGUCGGAUUAGCUAGUUGGUGGGGUAAAGGCCUACCAAGGCGACGAUCUGUAGCGGGUCUGAGAGGAUGAUCCGCCACACUGGGACUGAGACACGGCCCAGACUCCUACGGGAGGCAGCAGUGGGGAAUAUUGGACAAUGGGGGGAACCCUGAUCCAGCCAUGCCGCGUGUGUGAAGAAGGCCUUUUGGUUGUAAAGCACUUUAAGCGAGGAGGAGGCGC